rnacentral:rRNA from 1 species
UAGCAUAAUCAUUUGUUUUUUAAUUGAAAACUGGAAUGAAAGGUUAAACAAAGUAGGUUGUCUUUUUUUUAUAAUUAAAAAUUGUAUUUUAAGUAAAAAUACUUAAAUGAAAUUGAGGGACGAUAAGACCCUAAAAGCUUUAUUUGAAAUUAAAUAUGUUCAGGGUAGAGAAAAGAAAGUUUAGCUGGGGUAGUUUUUUUAUAAAAACUAAGGUUUUAGGUUACAAUAAAUGGGUAAGGGUCCUUUAUAUAAGGAUAAAUUGAGUAAGUUACUUUAGGGAUAACAGCGUAAUAAUUUUAGGGAGUUCGAAUUUAUAAGAUUGUUUGCGACCUCGAUGUUGAAUUAGAAAAAUCACAUAGAGCAGAAACUAUGGUGAUGGGUUUGUUCAACCUUUAUAAUUUUACAUGAUUU